rnacentral:rRNA from 1 species
UACAGAGGUCUCAAGCGUUGUUCGGAUUCAUUGGGCGUAAAGGGUGCGUAGGCGGCGCGGUAAGUCGGGUGUGAAAUCUCGGAGCUUAACUCCGAAACUGCAUUCGAUACUGCCGUGCUUGAGGACUGGAGAGGAGACUGGAAUUCAUGGUGUAGCAGUGAAAUGACGUAGAGAUCAUGAGGAAGACCAGUGGCGAAGGCGGGUCUCUGGACAGUUCCUGACACUGAGACACGAAGGCCAGGGGAGCAAACGGGG